AAACCGCUGCUGAUACUUGCACCGUGAUGUCACUGUUACGCAUUAUAACGCUACACUGCUGGAUCCAGAGCUCAUAAAGCGGAGGGGAAGAGACAGACUGCAGCUGUUUAUUACCGUGGGAAGACUUGAUCAGCCUGCUUACAAGAAAAACGGAAUAUUAAACGAUAAAAAGCGGAUUUAUCCGUUUGUUUCUUGUUGGAAACUAUCUGAGUUCACAGCCACGAGAGAGAAAAAGACACAGUGAAACCUUCUGCCAAUUGCCCUUUCCCUCUGGAGCCAUGGUGGCAGCAUUCCUCAAGUUGUAUCUUAUCGGAACGGCGCUGAGCGUCCUCACAGUGCUUUUUCAGUUUGUGGACUCCAUCGGCGGCAUGAUGCACUCCCAGGACCAUCAGCACUCUUGGGACGUGGAGGAGCGGACGCGGAGGACGGAGAGGAUCAGCUUCGACUUAGAGCAUUAGAUGAUUUCUAAAUAAUGGCAGCUGGAUGGACAUGGACAUGUUGGCUACUGCAGGAAUGCAUCAACAGACACUGAGACUUUACAAGCACUGAACAUAAUAAUAGUUGCAUUGCAGUGUGUGACAUCAUUGUGAUGUCUGUAACUGUGUAUAAAUGUUCAGUUUGUUUAUGUGUGUUUGCUUUGCUUCGUAUCAUCUGCUGUCAAACACUGAAGCAGCCGGCAGCUACAACCCCGACGACAACUGUAACUGCACUACUGAGCUAAGAUUUGCACUGAAAACUAGAUUUUUUUGUUUUGUCUUUUCAAAAUGUGUAUUAUCAUGUAUAUUAUGUGUAUCAUGUGUAUUAAAGAAAUGUAAAAAAAAGUU